GUGAACGCUGGCGGCAGGCCUAAUACCUGCCAGUCGAACGGCAGCACAGUGGAGCUUGCUCCAUGGGUGGCGAGUGGCGGACGGGUGAGGAAUACAUGGGAAUCUGCCCAGUCGUGGGGGAUAACGUAGGGAAACUUACGCUAAUACCGCAUGCGCCCUUCGGGGGAAAGCCGGGGACCUUCGGGCCUGGCGCGAUUGGAUGAGCCCAUGUUCGAUUAGCUAGUUGGCGGGGUAAAGGCCCACCAAGGCGACGAUCGAUAGCUGGUCUGAGAGGAUGAUCAGCCACACUGGGACUGAGACACGGCCCAGACUCCUACGGGAGGCAGCAGUAGGGAAUAUUGGACAAUGGGCGCAAGCCUGAUCCAGCCAUGCCGCGUGAGUGAAGAAGGCCCUCGGGUUGUAAAGCUCUUUUGUCCGGGAAGAAAAGCAUCGGGCUAAUACCUCGGUGUUCUGACGGUACCGGAAGAAUAAGCACCGGCUAACUUCGUG
rnacentral:rRNA from 1 species